CCUACGGGUGGCAGCAGUGGGGAAUAUUGGACAAUGGGCGAAAGCCUGAUCCAGCCAUGCCGCGUGUGUGAAGAAGGCCUUCGGGUUGUAAAGCACUUUCAGUGGGGAAGAAAGCCUUGGGGCUAAUACCCUCGAGGAAGGACAUCACCCACAGAAGAAGCACCGGCUAACUCCGUGCCAGCAGCCGCGGUAAUACGGAGGGUGCGAGCGUUAAUCGGAAUUACUGGGCGUAAAGCGCGCGUAGGCGGUCUGAUAAGCCGGUUGUGAAAGCCCCGGGCUCAACCUGGGAACGGCAUCCGGAACUGUCAGGCUAGAGUGCAGGAGAGGAAGGGAGAAUUCCCGGUGUAGCGGUGAAAUGCGUAGAGAUCGGGAGGAAUACCAGUGGCGAAGGCGGCCUUCUGGACUGACACUGACGCUGAGGUGCGAAAGCGUGGGUAGCAAACAGGAUUAGAUACCCCGGUAGUC
rnacentral:rRNA from 1 species